AAAUUGAAGAGUUUGAUCAUGGCUCAGAUUGAACGCUGGCGGCAGGCCUAACACAUGCAAGUCGAACGGUAACAGGAAGCAGCUUGCUGCUUUGCUGACGAGUGGCGGACGGGUGAGCAAUGUCUGGGAAACUGCCUG
rnacentral:rRNA from 1 species